rnacentral:rRNA from 1 species
GACGAACGCUGGCGGCGUGCUUAACACAUGCAAGUCGAACGGAAAGGCCCUGCUUUUGUGGGGUGCUCGAGUGGCGAACGGGUGAGUAACACGUGAGUAACCUGCCCUUGACUUUGGGAUAACUUCAGGAAACUGGGGCUAAUACCGGAUAGGAGCUCCUGCUGCAUGGUGGGGGUUGGAAAGUUUCGGCGGUUGGGGAUGGACUCGCGGCUUAUCAGCUUGUUGGUGGGGUAGUGGCUUACCAAGGCUUUGACGGGUAGCCGGCCUGAGAGGGUGACCGGCCACAUUGGGACUGAGAUACGGCCCAGACUCCUACGGGAGGCAGCGGUGGAGAAUAUUGCACAGUGGGCGGAAGCCUGAUGCAGCAACGCCGCGUGCGGGAUGACGGCCUUCGGGUUGUGAACCGCUUUCGCCUGUGACGAAGCGUGAGUGACGGUAAUGGGUAAAGAAGCACCGGCUAACUACGUG